AGUGAACGCUGGCGGUAGGCCUAACACAUGCAAGUCGAACGGCAGCACAGUAAGAGCUUGCUCUUACGGGUGGCGAGUGGCGGACGGGUGAGGAAUACAUCGGAAUCUACUUUUUCGUGGGGGAUAACGUAGGGAAACUUACGCUAAUACCGCAUACGACCUACGGGUGAAAGCAGGGGAUCUUCGGACCUUGCGCGAUUGAAUGAGCCGAUGUCGGAUUAGCUAGUUGGCGGGGUAAAGGCCCACCAAGGCGACGAUCCGUAGCUGGUCUGAGAGGAUGAUCAGCCACACUGGAACUGAGACACGGUCCAGACUCCUACGGGAGGCAGCAGUGGGGAAUAUUGGACAAAGGGCGCAAGCCUGAUCCAGCCAUACCGCGUGGGUGAAGAAGGCCUUCGGGUUGUAAAGCCCUUUUGUUGGGAAAGAAAAGCAGCGGGUUAAUACCCCGCUGUUCUGACGGUACCCAAAGAAUAAGCACCGGCUAACUUCGUG
rnacentral:rRNA from 1 species